GACGUAGGGCGCGAACGUGUCCGGAUUUAUUGGGCGUAAAGAGCUCGUAGGCGGCUUGUCGCGUCGAAUGUGAAAUCUCGGGGCUCAACUCCGAGCUUGCAUUCGAUACGGGCAGGCUAGAGUUCGGUAGGGGAGACUGGAAUUCUGGUGUAGCGGUGAAAUGCGCAGAUAUCAGGAGGAACACCGGUGGCGAAGGCGGGUCUCUGGGCCGAUACUGACGUGAGGAGCGAAAGCGUGGGGGAGCGAACAGG
rnacentral:rRNA from 1 species